UCGGAACGUGCCCUGGAGUGGGGGAUAACUAGUCGAAAGACUAGCUAAUACCGCAUACGAUCUACGGAUGAAAGUGGGGGAUCGCAAGACCUCAUGCUCGUGGAGCGGCCGAUAUCUGAUUAGCUAGUUGGUAGGGUAAAAGCCUACCAAGGCAUCGAUCAGUAGCUGGUCUGAGAGGACGACCAGCCACACUGGAACUGAGACACGGUCCAG
rnacentral:rRNA from 1 species